CUCCUGUGACCCCCUUAGAGGAUGACUGAUUUCUUUUGGUGAUUCAGAGUCAAUACAAUUUUCUAGCACCAUCUGAAAUCGGUUAUAAUGACUG
rnacentral:pre_miRNA from 1 species